UCGUAUCUCUCUCCAAACCCUAUUCAUUUCAUUCGGCCGCUCUUGCAUUCUUCAAACCCUAAUCUUCUUCAUCUUCAACCCCCCAAAAGCACAAACCUGGUGAAAACCAAACCCCGCAAGACCAAAAUUCAAACACUCAUCUUCCUUCGUUCACCUUCUCACUCUCUCUCUCUCUCUCUCGCAAAGAGGGAAGAGGACUCAAACCGUAUACACAAAUCUCAGAACGAGUUAACCAGAUGAAGAUGGGGUGAGGAAGAUGAAGAUGACAUUACUUUGCAGAUCUGAGUCUUUUACAUUCAAAUCUUAUGGGUUUGCGUUCAGAUCUGACUGCUUCUACAGUUUCACGUUUCAUCUGACUGCUUCUACAGUCUGCUUUGUGGUAGCAGAAGUGUGUUCCGUAAUGCAUCAUUCUUCACAUCAUUUUCCUUUUGACCCCUCGAAAAUAACACCAAUGAAUUAUUCGAAAGCCGUUGGAAACGGGGCAAAGGACAUGUUAACAAGAUCUGAUAAUUACAAUGACGCUUCAAGUGACGCAUCCCUUUUCUCAAGUUCAUUACCAGUUUUUCCCCAUGAGAAGUGUACGCUUUCAAAAAUGGUAAGGAGAAUCCGAUUGCAAGCUCACCGGCGAAGGAAGCAUACAGGAAUCGGCUGGCGGACAGCCUCAACAUGGACAGAACUAAGAUUCUAGCUUUCAGGAAUAAGCCUCCGACACCAACAGAUGCGGUUCCAAACGAGUGGUCUUCAGUGCAGCAGGCGAAGCCAGUAAAGGCCCUUAGAUACAUCCCUCAGUCCUAAAAUGUUAAGCAUGCAAAUAUGAGAGUUAGGGCCAAAGCUGUUGUUUCGAUCUCUCAGUAUGUCUCUAAACUGGAGUCAGGUGAGAUUAGAGAAUACGGGCUUGCUUCGUUGGUGCAAACGCCGGCUGAGUUGUUGAAAGAUAGGCUUCCUGAAGCGAGAGAGGCGGCUGAGUUAUGGAGGAUGGGGAGACUGAACAAGAAGAUAAGUAGCAAAACUUUUGCCAGUUAAAUUUGCCAGCCAUUGACGCGUUGACCAUGGUUUAUGCAGGUUUUCAUCGCUUGUGGAUAUUAGAGUUAUUGAUCAAGUUAUCUAAUGAACUGAUGUAGGUAAGGGUGCAAACGAGCCAAGCUACUCGCGAGCUUCGGACAUAAUCACCGCUUUAUCAUAGAAGAACUCAUACAUUCCAUACAGAAACAGCAAGCUCACACUACUCCUUCAGAACUCAUUAGGUGGAAACGCGAAGACUUUGAGGUUUGCUCAUGUGAGCCCAGAAGGUGAUUCUUCCGGGGAAACGGUUUGUAGGUUGAAGUUUGCUCAACACGCUUCAACAGUCGAACUUGG